rfam:Oryza glaberrima chromosome 12 Oglab12_0131_14, whole genome shotgun sequence.
AAAAAGACAAACCCUGGUUUCCGUGUCCAACGUUUGACCGUCCGUCUUAUUUGAAAAAAUUAUGAAAAAAUUAAAAAGAUAAGUCACGCAUAAAGUAUUAAUCAUGUUUUAUCAUCUAACAACAAUGAAAAUACUAAUUAUAAAAAAGUUUCAUAUAAGACGGACAGUCAAACGUUGGUACGGAAAUCCAUGGUUUGCCUUUUU